ensembl:rRNA 5S_rRNA 5S ribosomal RNA
GUCUAGCGCCAUACCACCCCGAACAUGCCUGAUCUCGUCUGAUCUCAGAAGCUGGGUGUGCUCUUUGCUACCAGACUGCCUUAGCCC